CGGUACGUGUGUGUGCGUGCGUGCGUGCGUGCGUGCGUGUAUCCAUGCGUGCGCACGGCGUGUUACGCGGCGUCGUGAGCCGAUUUGCUUAAUCCAUUCGCCAGUUCCGCGUGUAAUGGACGUUACACAGUCACAUGUGACUGAUGAGCCAACAUGGACGAGGGGAGGGAGGGAAAGGAGGGGGGAGGAAUCGGAGAAGCUGGAGGUGUUUCAAAAUUUCCCGAAUCCCAAACACGUCUCUGAUGAACUUUGUCUAUUGUUAGCAUAAAUCGGCUACCUUCUCCGGGGGAUGAUGGGGCAGAAAUUGGCCAGGGCGCCGCCAUUGUUGCGCGAUCAUCGUCAUAAAUCAUCGAGUUCACCUGCCAUCCUUUUGUUCACCUGCCCUCUUCGCCUCCUCUCAAUGUACAAUUUUCUUUCUUGAAAUUUCUUUCUUUUUCUUCUCUAUAUUGUUGUUUAUUCGUUUCUUUCCUUUUCUCUCUUCUUUUUUUAAUUGGAUUUUUCAUGGAGACUAUUAGGAAAUCGAGGAUCGAUACAAUCGAUCAAAAUUGAGACAACGGGAUCGAUCCUUGGAAUUUUUGCUUGGAGAAGUAUUGCAGUAUCGUUGUAAUCAAUUACAUUGGAUUAUUUGUACUUAUUUUGUAUAUCAUAGCGAUUAUUCUACUUUCUUUUCUCUUGUAAUUGUGCGUCUUUUAUAACGAAAUCAACGAUUUCUUUCAGAAUCUUUCUUCUUCCUCUUCUAAUUGGAAGAGCUUUUAUAUAUACGUACAGAAGAAGUAGAUCAUUUGACAAACGAGAAUAAAGUUAAUAGAAAUCAUUAUAUCACGUAUAUAAUUUUCUUUACAGCAUCGAGGUGCCAGGGAGAGAAUUUUGAAUUAUCGAUAUUCCAAUUCUGGCGCGUGAGAUGCUCAGAUAUGGUGCGUGAUUCUAAUUUUCACGAUGACAGAAACUCGUUUAUCGAUUGUCUAUUUUCUCCAACGCCGUCUCUAUUAUCAGAGACACCUAACGCGCGAGAGGAGGAAAAAGGAAAAAUAUUUGCGUCGAAAACGUUAAACUCGAGGAUGCAAAAAUAACCUGUAAAAUUCUCGCUGAAGCGAGUAUCGAUUCGUGGCGGGGGCCAGAUCGAUCCCCGCUAAUUUUAGGAUUUCCUAUUCGCACGCCGCCCCUGUGCAUCGGUCGGCGCAAUUAUAUAUACGAGAUCGAAGCCGCAGGUUGCGAUGCGCUCGCUGGUUGGAAAGCGAUACAGCCCAGCCGUGGGCUGGGUUCUCUUCACGGUUCUUUGCCCCUGAUUAGCAACGAAGGAAGGCUCGAGAAACGAGCACGGUGUAUACACAUAAGACGUAACGCCUCGCCACGUUUAAUUGGCUUGUCACCUAUCGACGUAAAUGGCGGCCCCAUGUUUGACGCGUUGCACGUCGAAUUAAAUCACGCGUUCAAUUUGGCAGCCGGGCUAAGUGUUCCGCAACGGAGGAGAGGAGAGCUUGUUAGUGUUUUCACGCGCUCUGAAGAGAAACUGUUUCGCUCCCAAGACGAAUGCUGCAACUUGACACCGAUAUCCAUACGACGAAACAUGGGUCGAAAAUACGGGGAAAAAUUCGAGAAAAAUUUUUCCAACGACGCAUGAAAGGAAAAAAAAAAUAGUCCAACUUCACAGAAGCGCGUUGCUCAUCCACUGUUGCCAACUUGAACGUUCCUCGGUGACGCCUCGAGGGGCGAAAGAAAAAAAA